rnacentral:rRNA from 1 species
GAUUUCUGGUAUGGCGCGCUUGGCCCGCCGAGGUUACUCGGUUGUGUGCCGGUGCGCGCCUGCCAUCCUUCUGGGGAACGGCUCUACCCUUUACUGGGUGGGAGUCGGUAUCCAGAUCUUUUACUUUGAAAAAAUUAGAGUGUUUAAAGCAGGCUUACGCUAUGAAUACAUUAGCAUGGAAUAAUAAUCUAGGACUUCGGUUCUAUUUUGUUGGUUUCUAUAACUGAAGUAAUGAUUGAUAGGGAUAGUUGGGGGUGCUAGUAUUCAGCGGCCAGAGGUGAAAUUCUCGGAUUCGCUGAAGACUAACUUAUGCGAAAGCAUU